CGGAGGAGUUCGCUGCGGAAACAUGUGCAUAACAGGGACCAGACCUCCUGACCGUUGCAACGGAAUCCUGAAAUGUGGAUUUUUUGUGUGUGAAACCUGCUAAAUGUUGAAGUUGGUCGUUCACAAAAUGUUCUUUUAAAUGCUACAAAGAUCAACCCAAACAGCUCUGAGGGCCAAACUGCAAGCUGUCAGGUACUUGAUGGAGACUUUGAUAUAUUUCCUUCCCAUUCCUACCAAGAGCCUCCAGAGUAGGACGUGGUCUCCCCGUUUCCUAAAUGGCCUGAGGGGCCCGUUGGCUGGCCGGUCCUCGGCAGCUCUGCCCUGGACCCUGCGAGUUUAAGAAAACUGCAAAGAAAGACCUCUGGCUCCGUGAACACCAGGUCCGAGUUUUCCUGUCUAUAGCGCCGUGGCAUGGGUCCCUGAGGGAGACUUUCCGGUUCAACGCUGUCACUCCUGUCCCUCUAGGUUACAGCCUCUCGCCAAAGACGACUCCUUCCCUUUGGAGCACGUGUAAGACUUGAGAUAGUGCAUCUGUUUGUAUAUUUAUUUGGUCAACACCUGUCUCUCCUCCUGAACUAUAGAGCUCCAAAAAGACAGAAACUAUUAGGAUUUUGUACCUCCCCAGAGCUAGCAUGGUGCCUGAUCCAAAGAAAGGGCUGAAUAAACACUUGCUGAAUGAAUCAGAGAAGGGGGAGACCAGACAGGGGCCAUGGAAGGGCCCCAAUCAAUUCCGCUGAACUAAUGCCACCACCCCGAGGACAGAAAGCAUCUGGGAACCUUUUCAAAGGCUCUGGCACUCCCUUCACCAGUAACACGGCCCAGCCAAGCCAGCGAACACCAGGAAAACCACCAGGGUGGGGACUCCCGUCACCGUGCUCUGGGCAGUUCUGGCCUUUCCUGCUUCAGGAUCCCGCCACUCACUUCCUGAGACAGGCCACAGGGCCGACUGCCCCAGGGCAGGCCUAGCUCUUGUGCCUUUGUACCCAUAGCCUGAGAAACCGGUCACAGAGACAGAGCCCCCGUGAAACAGCCUUUGUGUGCAACACCAGCACGUCUCAGACACACACGCCGAGCCCAGGCUGCAGCAGACGCCGGGAGCCCAGACGCCUGCCCUGGCUGGGGUGGGGGCGCCAGGGCCUCCCAGGCCACGGGAGCGGUAAAGAUACAGCUGUGCUUGUCAAAUCAUGGCUAAGGAUGCUCUGACGUAGGGAUCCGGGACAUGGGAUUUACCCGACUGGAGGCGACAACGUGAAGAAGCGAACGGAAGAAGUGGGAGCAGCGGCCCCAGUGCGUGGCUGAGGAGCGCCAGCUUCCCAGCCUGCUUCCAGGGAGCUGCACACACAACGUGGCGCUGCAGCACCGAGUGCUUCCCGGAGAAGGGGAGGCAAGGGGUGCUCCAAGAAGGGGUGUGCCCCGACCCCAUGCUCCUCAGAGGGACCUGGCCCGCGCAAUGCUCCCACAGCUGGGGGGCCCUGGGAGUGCUUUCCGGGGCCCUCCUGUGACAGAACUUCUCGCUGCUCAGGGCCAGCCAGACGCCCAGGACCCCAGGUGGGAAAUGUGGGCAGACGUGUAACGAGGUGGCGGAGGGAGGUGCCAGGAGGGGCCGGGGUCUGCAGGGAGCUGCGCUGCACAGAGGGGCGUUCAGAAGGAGGAGCAGCAGCACAGGGCCAGAGCCCAGAGCCCCCAGGACGAGACCCGGAGAGGAAGAAAGGCGCAGGCCACGCGCCGACCCCGACUGGCAUAGCCUCCACGGGGAGGCGGGGACUGCAUCUCUCUCUCUCUCUCUCUUCUCAGCCCACCUUCAUCUCCAAAUGGCCCAGGGACCAAGUUGGAGGGACCUUCUCACAGCAAAGCAAAUAAAUACCUGAGCCACUGCAGAAGUGGGAACAGAGCUCUGGUCAAACGUUUUGACUGCCUGACAGUCUAAUGAGAUGGCCUCAAAGUCUGGACUGCUUGUAAUAAAAAUAUUUUUAAAGUUAUGUAACUGGGUCACCAUGGAGUUUUUCCCUUCUUGUAAAUAUUACAUAAUUACGAGAAGGAAACACACUUGUGUAAGGAGGGGGAGGCAGGCAAAUUGGCUCAAGACACAAAUCUGGGAACCGAGGCCGCUAAGAGAUACCUUCCAGAAGGUAAUCUGGGAGCACCAACUGCGACACAAGUCUUUGAAAACAGGCUCAUUAGUGGACAUUUGUUCAGCGAGGUUGCUGCAGAGACAGACACACUGGGUCUUGCAGUUGGAGGUUCAUUUCAAAACGCCUCAAGACCCACGCUGCCCCCAUCUCCAGAGGAUUCAGGACGCUCCUUGUUUGUUUGAAGACCUCAGUCCCCACGGCAAAAACCAAGUACACAAGGGCCGGGUUUGAUUGACUUUUCAUUUUUCUUUAAAUUUCCACCCAUUCCCACAAAGAAAAUACCAGCACCUCCACUCAGUGUCCGGAAAAUAGAAACCCCCUUUCCUUGUAUUGUUUUAUUUCAGGACGGGGGACACAGAGAGAAGACAGGGUGAUGUGGCCCGGUCCUCCAAAGGACCCCCGAACGUGGCUGGGAACACAAACGAUGACACGUACCUGCGACAGGAGAUAGAGAGAAACCGGCAGGCUGAUUUUCGGGCGCUCUCCUCCCUAGGGAAGGUCAGGGGGAAAGAGGGAGAGAGAGAGGCGUCCUGGUCAGGCAUGUGAGCAGCACAAAAAGACAUGAAGCCAAAAGCCAUCUGUCUGAAGGAGAGGUGCCCUGUCCCCCCACUUCCUCUGUGACCCUAAGACGGUUCUUUCCCGGUAAGCGUCAAAAGUCCACUCUGCAAAAUAAACUCGAAACCUAAUCCCAUC